CACGUAGUUAGCCGGGGGCUUCUUAGUCAGGUACCGUCUUUCUUCUUCCCUGCUGAUAGAGCUUUACAUACCGAAAUACUUCUUCACUCACGCGGCGUCGCUGCAUCAGGGUUUCCCCCAUUGUGCAAUAUUCCCCACUGCUGCCUCCCGUAGGAGUUUGGGCCGUGUCUCAGUCCCAAUGUGGCCGGUCGCCCUCUCAGGCCGGCUACUGAUCGUCGCCUUGGUGGGCCGUUACCUCACCAACUAGCUAAUCAGACGCGGGUCCAUCUCAUACCACCGGUAGUUUUUCACACUCUGUCACUCGACAAUGUGCGUCUUAUGGUCGGUUUAGCUAGUCUAUUUCUAACUUGUUACUCCCCUGUAUGGAGGCGUACGGUUACCCACGUCGUUACCUACCGACCCGUCCGCCGGUACUUAACGGUUUACUCGUACCUU
rnacentral:rRNA from 1 species